CAUUUUUGUUGCCAUUGAACACUAUAGAUCAUUAGUUCAGAGGAGGCUCGUGAUGGCACACAACAAUGAAGGGGACGAGAUAAAAUAGGAGGAUGUCCGAGGAGCAGGGCCAAGACUAAACAAAGAACGAAGAAUGCCUUUUCAUUUCAUGAUCAUAAAACACUACUAAGCUUAUUUUUCAUAUGGCAACUGUCGGAGCUAAGAGGCAGCCCCCGAAGCACCAACACGCCACCACCUGGUCUGCCAUCUCCCAAGAUAUGGAUGUAACUCGAUCCACUGUGUCCGAUCAUAAGGUGAUAAUGGCGACACA